rnacentral:lncRNA from 1 species
AGCCUUCGGUGAAACUGAAGCCUAGACAGCUUCAGAGUUUGUCCAAAUCCCCCAUUUUAAGUAGGAGAAUUAGAAACUGGGUGUUAGCCUUUCUUGGGUCCCCUCAGCCCUCUUGAAAGAUGUAACUUUGAUCUUUGGAUCUUUCUCAGCUCAGAGGAGUCCACAGAGAAGGGGCCUCCAGGUCAGCAGCAGGCGAAGGUCCAGCCACAGACUCGGAUGACAGCACCAAAGCAGACACAGACACCGGAGCUGUUGCCUGAGCCACCAGGAGCCCAAGGGCUUCUGCAGAUCCAGACCCAGGUGCAGCCACAGACUCAGCUACAGCUGCCUCCGGGGGACACCCAUGUGCAGCCACAGCUGCAGAAGCAGGCCCAGACACAGACCUCUCCAGAGCACUUAGCGCCUCAGCAGAAACACACGCAGCCACAGGUAUACACCCAAGCACAACCACAGGAACAGCCUUCAGGACAGGAGACAGAGCAGACACCAGAGCAGACUCAGGGCCAGCCUCAGACCCAGCUGCAGGGGUCAACAUCUGUACCAGAGCAAAUGGGAAUUCCAGCCCAUGCCAUGGAAGCGGAGACACCAGAAGCCAGGGGAGGGCUGGAGGAGGCCUCGCCAGAACCUGUGGGUGCCCAGGUCAGCAAGGACAUGAGCCGGGAGGAGUCAGCCGGUGGCUUGGAUGUGGGAGAGUGUGAAAAAAGAGCGAGAGAGAUGCUUGGGAUGUGGGGUGCCGGGGGCUCCCUGAAGGUCACCAUCCUGCAGAGCAGCAACAGCCGGGCCUUUAGCACCAUACCCCUCGCACCUGGACCACGCUCCGGAGACUCUAGCUCUGCCCCUUCCGGCACUGCCAGCACACCUGCCAGGCAGACCCUCCAGUUCUUUUGCUAUAUCUGCAAGGCCAGCUGCAGCAACCAGCAGGUGCUUAGCCCAAGAGGAGGGCUGGGAUCUGCAGGCCGUCCUGGGCCUGCCCUUUCUACACUGCCCAGAAGCUGCACAGG